rnacentral:tRNA from 1 species
AUUUAAGUAGUUUAAAAUUAAAAUAUUGAUUUGUGGUAUCAAUGAUAUAAAAUUUUUUAUCUUAAAUU